CGAAUCCGGUAGACGCUACGGACUUAAAUAAUUUGAGCGUUAGUAGAAAAACUUACUAAAUGCUAGCUUUCAGAUUCAGGGAAACUUAGGUUGAUAAAAAUAUAAGCAAUCCUGAGCCAAAUCUUAUUUCGUUUGAAAAUAAAAUAGGUGCAGAGACUCAAUGGAAGCUAUCCUAACGAAUAACAUUUUAAAAAUUAUUUAAAAUUUAUUUUUUAGAUAUUAAGCGAGGAUAAAGAUAGAGUCCAAUUUUACAUGUUAAUUUUAGCAACAAUUUAAAUUGUAGUAGAAAGAAAAUCCGUUGGCUUUAUUGACCGUGAGGGUUCAAGUCCCUCUACCCCCA
rnacentral:tRNA from 1 species